UUACAGGUACCGUUGGUGACUUGGUUCUGUUGGUGACUCUAAUUCAGACAACAGUGUGUUCAGUUGACCUUAAGUUGGAUUUAAGUUCCGAGUUUUGACCGAAGCUUCGACCUAGUGAUCAGAGUUUGCAUAACCAGCCAGUCCAGUCUGCAUCAUGUGCAUCAUAGCAUAUUUAUUUUUCAAAAAGAAACGCAUUGAAAAAAUAUAUAAAAAAA
rnacentral:lncRNA from 1 species